ACCGAUGUCUAGUAUAAGCACUAUACUGUGAAACUGCGAAUGGCUCAAAAAACCAGUUAUCGUUUAUUUGAUAGUACCCUACUACUGGGAUAACCGUGGUAAUUCUAGAGCUAAUACAUGCUAAAAACCUCGACUUCGGAAGGGGUGUAUUUAUUAGAUAAAAGACCAAUCCCCUUCGGGGCUCCUUGGUGAUUCAUAAUAACUUAACGAAUCGCAUGGCCUUGCGCCGGCGAUGGUUCAUUCAAAUUUCUGCCCUAUCAACUUUCGAUGGUAGGGUAGUGGCCUACCAUGGUUGCAACGGGUAACGGACGAUUAGGGUUGGACUCCGGAGAGGGAGCCUGAGAAACGGCUACCACAUCCAAGGAAGGCAGCAGGCGCGCAAAUUACCCAAUCCCGACGCGGGGAGGUAGUGACAAUAAAUACUGAUACAGGGCUCUUUUGGGUCUUGUAAUUGGAAUGAGUACAAUUUAAAUCUCUUAACGAGGAACAAUUGGAGGGCAAGUCUGGUGCCAGCAGCCGCGGUAAUUCCAGCUCCAAUAGCGUAUAUUAAAGUUGUUGCAGUUAAAAAGCUCGUAGUUGAACCUUGGGUCUGGCUGGCCGGUCCGCCUCACCGCGUGCACUGGUCCGGCCGGACCUUUCCUUCUGGGGAGCCUCAUGCCCUUCACUGGGUGUGCUGGUCAACCAGGACUUUUACUGUGAAAAAAUUAGAGUGUUCAAAGCAGGCCUAUGCUCGAAUACAUUAGCAUGGAAUAAUAGAAUAGGACGUGUGGUUCUAUUUUGUUGGUUAUAGGACCGCCGUAAUGAUUAAUAGGGAUAGUCGGGGGCAUCAGUAUUCAAUUGUCAGAGGUGAAAUUCUUGGAUUUAUUGAAGACUAACUACUGCGAAAGCAUUUGCCAAGGAUGUUUUCAUUAAUCAGGAACGAAAGUUAGGGGAUCGAAGACGAUCAAAUUACCGGCGGAAGCUUAACCAUAAACUAUGCCGACUAGGGAUCGGGCGAUGUUAUUAUUUGACUCGCUCGGCACCUUACGAGAAAUCAAAGUUUUUGGGUCUGGGGAGAGUCGA
rnacentral:rRNA from 1 species